rnacentral:rRNA from 1 species
CCCGCACAAGCGCGUGGAGACAUGUGGUUUAAUUCAGAAGCAACGCGCAGAACUUACCAUCCUUUGACAUGGCGUGUUACCCAGAGAGAUUUUGGGGUCCACUUCGGUGGCGCGACAACACAGGUGCUGCAUGGUCUGUCGUCAGCUCGUGUCAGUAGAGAUGUUGGGAUUAAGUCCCAGCAACGAGCAGCAAUCCCAUCGUCUCUUAGUUAGCCAUCAUUUCAGUUGGGCAUCUACUAGGGAGACUGCCGGUGAUAAGCCGCGAGGAAUGGUGUGGAUGACCGUCAAGUCCUCAUGCGCCCUUAUCGGGAUGGGUCUACACACGUGCUACUAAUCGCGCGGUGACAGUGGGACGCUGAAGGAGCGAUCUGGAG